rnacentral:rRNA from 1 species
UACGAAGGGGGCGAGCGUUGUUCGGAAUUACUGGGCGUAAAGGGCGCGUAGGCGGCCAUUUAAGACAGGCGUGAAAGCCCCGGGCUUAACCUGGGAAUUGCGCUUGUGACUGUGUGGCUUGAGACCGGGAGAGGUGAGUGGAAUUCCCAGUGGAGAGGUGAAAUUCGUAGAUAUUGGGAAGAACACCGGUGGCGAAGGCGGCUCACUGGACCGGAUCUGACGCUGAGGCGCGACAGCGUGGGGAGCAAACAGG